rnacentral:sRNA from 1 species
UUGACAGUCUUGGGCACUAAAUUCCUCGGUUUAUCCACAGAACAGGUCCAGCACGUGCAGCAGCAAUGUGAUCUUCCUGGCAUAUAGUCCUUUGCCAAACUGGGAGAAAGGAUAGUUUCCUCUCCACUGCCAUUUAGUUUUUGGCCUUU